AAGAAGAAGAGUGAUCAUUUUUUUGCAAGGUGCAGGGUAUCUCGUAGUCAAGCAGUUUCGACUAGAGCUUUCUUUCUUGUUUUUUUUUUUUCUUAUCACAUUGUUAG